AUGAAUAAUAUCUUUUAUGGUCAUGCACCCUUGAUGAGUGGUCUGUUUUUACUAAAUCUUGAUAGUAAUGAUACACAUGUUCAUAGUAUUGAAGCCAAAAGAUAUAAGUUUAAUAAUGAUAGUGCAACUUAUUUGUGGCAUUGCUGUUUAGGUCAUAUUGGUGUAAAGCGCAUGAAGAAACUACAUGCCGAUGGACUUUUGGAAUCACUCGAUUAUGAAUCACUUGAUGUUUGUGAACCAUGCCUCAUGGGAAAAAUGACUAAGACUCUGUUCUCUGGAACAAUGGAGCGAGCAACAGAGAUGUUGGAAAUUAUACAUACUUAUGUAUGCGGUCCAAUGAGUGUUGAUGCUCGCGGCGGGUAUCGUUAUUUUCUUACCUUCACAGAUGAUUUGAGCAGAUAUGGGUAUAUCUACUUGAUGAAACAUAAGUCUGAAACAUUUGAAAAGUUCAAAGAAUUUCAGAGUGAAGUGGAAAAUCAUCAUAACAAGAAAAUUAAGUUUCUACAAUCUGAUCGUGGAGGUGAAUAUUUGAGUUAUGAGUUUGGUCUUCAUUUGAAACAAUGCGGAAUAGUUUCACAACUCACGCCAUCUGGAACACCACAGCGUAAUGGUGUGUUCGAACGUUGUAACCACACUUUAUUAGGUAUGGUGCGAUCUAUGAUGUCUCUCACUGAUUUACCGCUAUCA
rnacentral:rRNA from 1 species